GCAGCUGGGCACAGCAGACGCCUGGGAUCCUCCACAGGGCACACGGCUGAUUAUUUCUUUGCCAGGAGCUGGGAAAGUUUUGUCCGGCAUUUUCCCCCUGUCACCAGCGCUGCCUUCUCCCUCCCACCUGGGUCGCCAUGGAGACUAGAGCUCUCUCUGUUUCCUUCUCCAGGCAAAAUGGGGGAAGCUCAGUUAGCUCAUCGCUGACUAUAGGAAGCCCCCUUUUCUUUCUAAGCGGUUCCCAGGCAUCCCCAUUCUCUGUUUCUCAGCAGAAAAAAAAGACCAAGGAUACAGCUUUGGAUAAAGACAAUGGGCUUUUCCCGACUGUAAAUGACUACACCGCAAGCCUCCCCUGCCAGUUCAUGAGUGCAUUUCGUCUUUGCCGGCGGAUGUUGAAAUGGUGUCUGCAAUAACCGACUGGGUUCCUCCGAGCCCAGGGCAUGCAGACCCCUCCUCCCCCCGCCCCCCGUGCGAGUUUUCAGUUGCUCAUGAAAACCCUAGGAAACAGAUUUCCCUCGGUUAUGUAACCGGCUUCUCCCUUGCCUCUCGGUGGACUUGGGCAUCAUGUUUCUCGUCGGAGUGGAGGUGCAUGCAGCUGGGGAGGGGGAGUGGGAGCCCGAGGGCAGGGAACAGAGAGCGUCUCCCCUGGCUCGGCUCGAGGCCAGCUUCUCGCCUUCCAGCAACUCGGCGCCCCGCUUACCUGGUUGCGGACAGGGUGGUCUCACUCAAUCAUGAUCUCUCUUGAGCGGAGCAAGAUUUAAUAAAUUCACUCCACGAUGGAUGGCGAGGGCAGGAAAUACAAAAAACGAGAAGGAAACGAAAAACUGGAAGCAGAUGGUCCGACUUCACAUCAGCCCCGGGAGGCUGUUAGGAGACUCCAUUCUCGCGGUCCCUCCAGCUCCGGCUCCAGCUGGCGGGCUCCCGCGGACCCCCACCCUCCGCCCGCCAACCUCUCCAGCCAGGUGCGGCCGUCUUCACACUGGCUCCCUUUGGCCGAGAGUGGAGCGGAGGGCUGGGCGCUGGGACCGAAGGAGGGGCGGAGGGGUGCGCGUUUGGGCAGGCACGGGGGAGGGAGACCCGGCGGAAGGAAGGGGGGAAAGGCAAGAGUGACAGAAAAAAAAUAUUCCUGGGUUCGGAGCAAAGUGGUGGACCACGCAGCGAGACGUCAUGAGAGCCGCAGAUUCAGUGAGUGCUACUCAGUUCCAGCCGACUGGCCGAGCCGCGCUGUCAGCUCACCAACCGACGCGACUCUGGCAAAACAGCGUGCGCAGCGCCGCGCGCUGGGGAAGUGCGGCCGCACAGCGCGUCCGCGGGAGAAAGGGGGCGGGGGCGAGAGCCGGGAGCUGGACCCCGGACGCCCACCCCGCCGCCCGUCCGCUCUGUUAUUUUAGAUGGCGGUGGAGCGAGGCCCGGGAGCCGGCGGGCGCAGAAACCACCCCCCACUCCAGCACGAACCUGGAAACGUGGGUCCUGGGGGAACCUUUUGGGUUUAGUUCCCCAGACCCUACCUGUCACCCAUGUCACUGGGUUAUUCCUGGGGAAACACCUAGGAAGGAGGAGAGUCGAAACUCGCCGAUCAGUUUUUGUCUGUUGGUUUUAAGGACUAGGUCCUUAGUUUUGGGAGGGGGCGUGGGGAGAGUAUCAGGAGAAAGGGGGUCUGUCUAGUCUCUGGGACUGGGGCUGAAAUCCCGGAGAGGUAGCCCCGGCGCCAGAGCUGGAGCUUGCACGUUGUCCCCUUGGCCGGGAGGGGGAGCAGCGAGCAAGCUAGGUCGGAGGGGCGGGGCCGCGCCCCAGGGCUUUCCUGGCACCUGGCAGUGACCCACUGUUGGAGUCCAUUCAGUCUGUCCUGUCCACCCUACUGGGGCGUGGUACCAGCUGCUGCAUCACCCCACACCCACUUUGGGUUUCAAGGAGACAAAGGAUGUGAUCUUUUCCGAGCAUAAUCUGGACUACUUGAAAAACUGAAUUGUUGGAAACCCUUCUCUGACAAUCACCUGCUCCUGGCUUUGAGCUUAACUUGCAUUGUAUUGUUAUUUCAGAGACAUCUUGUAGGGCUCCCCUCCUGCAUCUCCUCUUUUUCUUGUGGUUGUUGCAAACAGUAGUUCUUCGUUUCCACGGGCUUCCUACAAGUGGCUUCUAUCUAUGUACAAACCUUUCUUUUAUGCCAUCAUUUCUUUUUGGAGUCAUAGAUUGACAAGUAAAUUGUAAAAGCAACUAAAACUGUUGGUUUAUACUUUUAUAAUGGGUCUUUCAAUAAUAGACAAAGUGGAUUUCCUUCCACAAGACACAGAAUCUUCAUCCAAGAAGGUGACCCUAUUCUAUAGAAAAAGCUCAUCAAGACCUCAUGUUGCCAAGAUGAUUUUGUUCUAUAUUCACACAUUCUAAUGACACAGAAAUUCCGCCCCUCAAGAACACUGACUGCUCUCUAAAGAUGACUUUUCCUUAAUCAGCAUCAUGAAGGCACAGAUCUUGGGAGCUUGUAUUUGUUGUUGAUUUUUCCCUGAGAGGUUGAAAUCCAGCCUGCUCUUACUUCUGAGCCCAUAUCCCCGACACAGAAGAUAUUAGUCUAACAUGUGAUUUUUAUGGUCCGUAGGGUCUGCUGGAUCUAGUAAUUGUGUCAGAGAUAAAGAUAAGCAAGGAACAACUGGACCAAACAAUCCCUGAGGGGCUCCAGUAAGGACACAAGAUGCAGGAUUUUGGUGGAACAGCCCUGGAGCAUUAAAAGCACAUCUUGACCAUA